rnacentral:rRNA from 1 species
UACGAAGGGGGCUAGCGUUGUUCGGAAUUACUGGGCGUAAAGCGCACGUAGGCGGGUUGUUAAGUCAGGGGUGAAAUCCUGGAGCUCAACUCCAGAACUGCCUUUGAUACUGGCAACCUAGAGGCUGGAAGAGGUUAGUGGAAUUCCCAGUGUAGAGGUGAAAUUCGUAGAUAUUGGGAAGAACACCAGUGGCGAAGGCGGCUAACUGGUCCAGAUCUGACGCUGAGGUGCGAAAGCGUGGGGAGCAAACAGGG